GGGAAUGGAGGAGUCCUGGUGGGCUCUCUGGACUUCAAAUCCAGUAACGGGCAGGACGAUGUCCGUGGUGGGUUCGAUUCCCAUGCAUUCCCGCCA
rnacentral:tRNA from 1 species